rnacentral:rRNA from 1 species
GACGAACGCUGGCGGCGUGCUUAACACAUGCAAGUCGAGCGGUAAGGCCCUUUCGGGGGUACACGAGCGGCGAACGGGUGAGUAACACGUGGGUGACCUGCCCUUAGCUCUGGGAUAAGCCUGGGAAACUGGGUCUAAUACCGGAUAUGACUCCAUGACGCAUGUUGUGGGGUGGAAAGCCUUGUGCGGCUAGGGAUGGGCCUGCGGCCUAUCAGCUUGUUGGUGGGGUGAUGGCCUACCAAGGCGACGACGGGUAGCCGGCCUGAGAGGGCGACCGGCCACACUGGGACUGAGACACGGCCCAGACUCCUACGGGAGGCAGCAGUGGGGAAUCUUGCGCAAUGGGCGAAAGCCUGACGCAGCGACGCCGCGUGGGGAGUGACGGCCU